ACAUCAAUAACCCCCAACACCCUUAACCAUCCCUAAACAAACCAUUUUCCCCCCUUAGUACAGGUGAUAGAAAAGGAACUGCGGAGCAACAGAAAAAGUACCGCAAGGGAAAGCUGAAAGA
rnacentral:rRNA from 2 species